rnacentral:rRNA from 1 species
UACGGAGGGUGCGAGCGUUGUCCGGAAUCACUGGGCGUAAAGGGCGCGUAGGCGGCGCGGAAAGUCGUCGGUGAAAGCUCGGGGCUCAACCCUGAGUCUGCCGGUGAUACUCCCGCGCUCGAGCUCACUAGAGGCAGAUGGAAUUCCGGGUGUAGCGGUGGAAUGCGUAGAGGUCCGGAAGAACACCGGUGGCGAAGGCGGUCUGCUGGGGUGAGGCUGACGCUGAUGCGCGACAGCGUGGGGAGCAAACAGG